GAUGUACGCUAGCUACAGGCUUAACACAUGCAAGUCGAGGGGUAACGAGAGGAAAGCUUGCUUUCCUUGUCGACGACCGGCGCACGGGUGAGUAACGCGUAUCCAACCUGCCCCCAACUAAGGAAUUACCUUGCGAAAGUAAGACUAAUACCUUAUAAUUUCUUCAGAUGUCAUCUGACGAGGAAUAAAGAUUUAUCGGUUGUGGAUGGGGAUGCGUCUGAUUAGCUUGUUGGCGGGGUAACGGCCCACCAAGGCAACGAUCAGUAGGGGUUCUGAGAGGAAGGUCCCCCACAUUGGAACUGAGACCCGGUCCAAACUCCUACGGGAGGCAGCAGUGAGGAAUAUUGGUCAAUGGGCGAAAGCCUGAACCAGCCAAGUAGCGUGCAGGAUGACGGCCCUAUGGGUUGUAAACUGCUUUUAUACAGGAAUAAAGUUAGCCACGUGUGGUUAUUUGUAGGUACUGUAUGAAUAAGGACCGGCUAAUUCCGUGCCAGCCGCCGCCGUAA
rnacentral:rRNA from 1 species